AGCCGUCCUUGAAAUACCACCCUUGUAUGUUUGAUGUUCUAACUUAGACCCGUUAUCCGGGUUGAGGACAGUGCCUGGUGGGUAGUUUGACUGGGGCGGUCUCCUCCCAAAGAGUAACGGAGGAGCACGAAGGUGGGCUAAUCACGGUUGGACAUCGUGAGGUUAGUGCAAUGGCAUAAGCCCGCUUAACUGCGAGAAUGACGGUUCGAGCAGGUGCGAAAGCAGGUCAUAGUGAUCCGGUGGUUCUGUAUGGAAGGGCCAUCGCUCAACGGAUAAAAGGUACUCCGGGGAUAACAGGCUGAUACCGCCCAAGAGUUCAUAUCGACGGCGGUGUUUGGCACCUCGAUGUCGGCUCAUCACAUCCUGGGGCUGAAGUCGGUCCCAAGGGUAUGGCUGUUCGCCAUUUAAAGUGGUACGCGAGCUGGGUUUAGAACGUCGUGAGACAGUUCGGUCCCUAUCUGCCGUGGGCGUUGGAAGAUUGAAGGGGGCUGCUCCUAGUACGAGAGGACCGGAGUGGACGAACCUCUGGUGUUCGGGUUGUGUCGCCAGACGCAUUGCCCGGUAGCUAAGUUCGGAAUUGAUAAGCGCUGAAAGCAUCUAAGCGCGAAGCGAGCCCUGAGAUGAGUCUUCCCUGAUACUUUAAGUAUCCUAAAGGGUUGUUCGAGACUAGAACGUUGAUAGGCAGGGUGUGUAAGCGUUGUGAGGCGUUGAGCUAACCUGUACUAAUUGCCCGUGAGGCUUAACCAU
rnacentral:rRNA from 1 species